GAGAGAGAGAGAGUGAACCAGUAAAUAAGCAGCUGGCUGUGAACUUGUGUUUCCCACCAAUUUAACCUUUUUUAUGGGACUGAAAAUCCUUCAAAAACUUAUUUUUCUUUCCUCUCAACUCAAGUGGGUCAUUCUUUUCGAGGUCCUACUCUCCCACUUGCUGGUCUUUGCUGUCUCUGCCUCUGUUACCUGCCCCCUUUUUUUUAUUUUUUUAUUUCAAACUCUACCAAUACCCUUCUCUAUUUUCUAUGCUUUUCCUUAUUUUUUUUGUUUAUGAAUACAGAGUAAGAUCCAUUUCUCUCAGUUGGGGAUUCUAUUUUCUGGAAAUUAUGCUGCUUGAAGGUAACAUGGAUCAAAGUUUCGAUAUUUGAUACAGUUGUGUUGUGUUUGCUAGUUUUGGUAUUUGUUUGUGGCUUGAAAUACAGUAGUGGGGUUUUUGGCUAUGUGGGAAGCAGGGUGGCCUGGUUUAAUCUAAGCAUCUGGGAUUGUUGAUAUUGGUAAAGCUUUACUGGGUAUUGCUUGGGAUGGUGGUUUAUGGCUUUUGGAUGUGAUGGGUUGGUUGCGGGUCACUUGUGGGGUUUUUACUCUGUAAAGGGGCUGUUAAGUGUUGAGCAAAAAGGGUUUUUUGGAUUACUUUGAACUUGUUUCCUUUGUGGUGGUGAUAGAGUGCUUCAGAUUUCAUGCUUGGUCCAAGACAAUGGAGAUGCUUGUGGCCAGAUUUUUAUUGCUUUCGCAUUCGAUAUUGUAACUUAUGAAAUAAUAUGAAGAACCUUCUUAAGAAACUGCAUAUCAUGUCCAAUCAAUCAGAAGAUGCUCAAGGGUCUGCUUCAUCAAGGGGCAAUAAGUCUACUGAUAAGUCGUCGCCCCCUGAAACUGAAAGGCUUUUGCACUCAAGGUCCCAUCAUAACUCUGAGCACAAAACCUUUUCGGGGCUAUCGGGUUGGUUGAAUUCAGUUUCUAAUAGACAUAGCCCCAGUCCCCCAUCAUCUUCAAAUGUCGCUAGGGCGGCAGAGAGAAUGGAGCCACCUGAUGCAGCUAGUAGGAGUGGUUUAGACGUUGUUUCAGAUACAGCUAGGCGCGAUUCGGGGUCUAGUACCUCAAGGGAUGCUGACAUAGCGGAAGAGUAUCAGAUUCAACUGGCUUUGGAGUUGAGUGCUCGGGAGGAUCCAGAAGCAGUUCAGAUUGAGGCUGUUAAGCAGAUUAGCUUGGGCUCUUGCGCUCCUGAUAAUACCCCAGCUGAAGUUAUUGCCUACCGUUAUUGGAAUUACAAUGCUCUUAGCUAUGAUGACAAGAUCUUGGAUGGUUUCUAUGAUCUGUAUGGGAUAUUGACAGAGUCAACCUCAGAGAGAAUGCCUUCUCUUGUUGAUCUGCAAGGAACACCUGUUUCAGAUAGUGUCACCUGGGAAGCUGUUUUAGUCAACAGAGCUGCUGAUGCGAACUUGUUGAAACUUGAACAGAUGGCCCUAGAAAUGGCUGUAAAGUCAAGUUCAGAUCCUCUGGUUUUUGUAAACAAAAAUCUGGUGCGCAAACUUGCUCUUUUAGUUGCUGACUACAUGGGUGGACCAGUUGCGGAUCCUGACAACAUGUUGAGAGCAUGGCAAAGUCUUAGUUACAAUUUGAAAGCUACCAUUGGUAGCAUGGUUUUGCCACUUGGUUCUCUGACAAUUGGAUUGGCCCGUCAUCGUGCAUUGUUGUUCAAGGCUUUGGCUGAUAGUGUGAGCAUCCCAUGCCGGUUGGUGAAAGGACAACAAUACACGGGCUCCAAUGAUGUGGCGAUGAACUUUGUAAAGAUUGAUGAUGGAAGGGAGUAUAUUGUUGAUCUGAUGGCAGACCCCGGCACACUUAUUCCAUCUGAUGCAGCUGGAUCACAUAUAGAAUAUGACGAAUCUUACUUUUCUGCCAGUCCUUUGUCUAGAGACAUUGAUUCCUCUCAUGUUGCUUCUUCCAGUAGUGGAGUUGGGAGUUCGUUUGAAGAACAUUCAGACUUUGGAACAUUAGACAAGAAAUCCAGGUUAAGAAAUUUUGCUUCUUCAGCAAGGGAUUCUGAAGAGAGAGAAGAACCAGAUUCUCGUGCAAAUCUACCCAGACCAACUGAACGUGGGGAAGAAUCCAAGAUACCUUCAGAUGAAUUUAGAUAUCCCUCUAAUUCUGAGAAGGCGCUGGUGCAGGAACUUCCAGGAAGGCCAAAUUAUCCUUUUGCGCAUGCAAGAUCCCCUUCAUGGACUGAAGGUGUUAGCUUUCCUGCUGCUCGAAGAAUGAAGGUUAAGGAUGUUUCUCAAUACAUGAUUGUUGCUGCCAAAGAGAAUCCGCAUCUAGCUCAAAAACUUCAUGACGUGUUACUUGAAAGUGGUGUUGUUGCUCCCCCAAACUUGUUUAGGGAAAUAUAUCCAGAGCAGUUAGAUGUGUCAACAGUUGAGACCAAGCCCCGGCCAGAAGAUAUGGGUGAAAAUAAAGAGAGGUUUGAAACACAAAAAAUUAAAGGUCAAGAUGAUAAAAGUCCAGCUCACUUUUUGCCUCCUCUGCCUCAGCACAGGGUGCAUUUUAAAGCUAGUCCUUCAUGUCAACUAGAGCAUCUUAAGCCCGUGGAAGGUUUAGGGGUCAACCUUCCACUUGAUACCGGGGAAGUAACUGGCCAGUCUGAAGUAUCUCCAUCUAAGUAUACAAAAAAUGUCCCUGUUGCUGCAGCCGCAGCCGCAGCAGCAGCUGUUGUGGCAUCUUCAAUGGUAGUUGCUGCAGCAAAGUCAAGCACUGACUCAAAUCUGGAACUUCCUGUGGCAGCUGCUGCAACUGCUACUGCUGCAGCUGUGGUUGCAACAACUGCAGCUGUCAGUAAGCAGUAUGACCAGGGCAUAAGAAGUGAUGGAGAUGCAGAAGGUUCUGGUUAUGAACCACGGGGCAGUGGUGACCGUCAUGAUGCUUUUGGAGUUAAUUUGGAAGGCGAGAGAACAUCAGAUCGAUCGGCAGGUAAUGACAGUACAAAAUCUGACAUUACAAUUGAUGAUGUCGCAGAUUGCGAGAUUCCAUGGGAGGAUAUCACCUUGGGUGAGCGUAUUGGACUUGGAUCAUAUGGGGAGGUCUAUCAUGGAGACUGGCAUGGGACUGAGGUUGCUGUAAAGAGGUUUCUAGACCAAGACUUUUUGGGCGAAUCACUUGAUGAAUUCAGAAGUGAGGUCCGGAUAAUGAAAAGACUCAGGCAUCCCAAUGUUGUUCUCUUCAUGGGUGCAAUAACUCGUGCUCCAAAUCUUUCCAUUGUUACAGAAUUUCUUCCAAGAGGUAGUUUAUAUAGGUUAAUACACCGGCCUAACAAUCAAUUAGAUGAGCGAAGACGCUUGAGGAUGGCUCUUGAUGCUGCUCGGGGAAUGAAUUACUUGCAUAACUGCACUCCAGUAAUAGUACACCGUGAUUUGAAGUCUCCAAAUCUUCUUGUUGAUAAGAACUGGGUUGUGAAGGUCUGCGAUUUCGGAUUAUCAAGAAUGAAGAACAGCACAUUUCUUUCCUCGAGGUCCACUGCAGGGACGGCAGAAUGGAUGGCUCCAGAAGUGCUAAGAAAUGAACCUUCCGAUGAAAAAUGCGAUGUCUAUAGCUAUGGGGUCAUCUUAUGGGAGCUCUCUACAAUGCAACAGCCAUGGGGGGGAAUGAAUCCAAUGCAAGUUGUUGGUGCAGUUGGAUUUCAACAUCGCCGUCUUGAUAUUCCAGAUGAUAUAGAUCCUGCAAUUGCAGAUCUCAUUAGAAAAUGCUGGCAGACAGAUCCAAAAUUGAGACCCUCUUUUGCUGAGAUCAUGGCUACUCUGAAACCGUUGCAGAAGCCUGUAAGUAGUUCUCAAGUGCACAGACCUAGCAGUGGGCGUGAGAAGGUUCAGCCAUCUUGAGUUGGAGAAUCCCCAGCUGGCUAAAAGAGUAAAUUUACCCCCACUGAAUAUUUGGCUCAUUCGACAGCCAAAAUAUGGAUGGAUGCAAGUUGUACAUUGAUUGGAACAACUUUUGAGAAAGGAUUGAAGAUCAUGACCUAACAUAUACUCCAUUUUGAGAUUUGCCAUUUUCUUUUCUUCUUUUAUGUUUUCCUCUUUAUUUCUGUUUUCUCAACAGUGCGGCCAUUCGCAAGGUUGUGCAUUUGUUUGUAAAGAAUUCAUUGGAAAUUGUUGUAAUCAAUGUUUUGAUUUCCGGUGUCCAUCCAUCGGAAGAGCGUUUUGUUGCCUGAACUUAAGAUAAAAAGCAGUAGUGUUAAUGGCAAAUGACUUUUUGGUGAAUCAAUUUUCCAGGUCAUUCUCUACAUUUCAAAGAGCUCCUCAAUCCUGGAUAAUCUCCGUCGCUGUACAUAAAUGCCACAGAGGUAGCAACACAGUGGGCUUGCUUGUUUUUCAUUUCGAACUGGUCCCAACUUAAUAGAAACAGAAAAAAGGGCAACCCACCAUUUAUAUUUUGCAUCAUAUACAAGGAUAAGGUAGGGACCAGCGGCUACUUAUGUUUAACUUGGCAAAUUUAUCUAGAUUUUAUCAUCGCUUGGCUAUCCUAAACAAAUGGCCACCUUCUCUGGUUCUUCCCCAUUUCUCUCCCACUCCCUAACAAGACCAAGCCACUUUUCUUCUUCUUCUUCAUCAUCACAAACGCCUCCUCCUGUUCCUCCACAAAAUCUGCCUUCACAACCACAUUCUCCAACACCAAUUCAGCAGCUCAGCACAGCUUCAUCGGAGCAGCCGAAAACGCCAGUCUCAGUAAAAGCAGAGCAACAGAAAGCUGCAUCUUCUAGCAGCACCACCAAGAGCACCAAGACCAAGGCUGACUCUACAGAUUGGAUAGCUUCCACGUUAACCAGGCGGUUUGGGAUUGGAGCUGGCCUUGCCUGGGCUGCCUUUCUCACAGUGGGCGUGGUCUCUGAACAAAUUAAGACCCGCCUUGAAGUCUCCCAACAAGAAUCAAACACAAGAAAUGUUGAGAAAGAAGAAGAGGUGGUGCUACCUAAUGGCAUAAGAUACUACGAGUUAAGAGUUGGUGGGGGGCCUUCUCCAAGGGCAGGAGACUUGGUGGUGAUCGAGCUCAAGGGGAAAGUGGAAGGCAGUGGACAAGUGUUUGUGGAUACAUUUGAGAGAGAGAAGAAGCCUUUGGCUCUGGUAGUUGGGUCCAGGCAGCCCUACAGCAAGGGAGUGUGUGAAGGGAUAGAAUAUGUGCUCAGAUCCAUGAAGGCAGGGGGCAGAAGAAGAGUGCUUGUUCCUCCAAGCUUGGGCUUCGGUGAGAAUGGUGCAGAUUUAGGUCCUGGUCUGCAAAUUCCUCCGUUUGCAACUCUAGAAUACAUUAUUGAGGUCGAUAGAGUCUCUAUUGCACCCGCAUGAUCAUAUUCAUAUUCUUGUCUUUGUUAAUUUUAUAUUAUUUUGAUUAUCGAGAUCGAUGAAGAAAUUUGUAAUAGAUUUUGUAUUUUAUGGAACACAUGAAUGUAUUUGUAUUUUCAUU